ensembl:lncRNA
CAGGCCGGCGCGUUAACAUAGGACCACGUCGGGCAUGCGCAUACUGCACGCAUGCAUCAGAGCAUGCGUACUUCCAUCUGAGAUUCUGCCAGGUUGAACAAGACUCGGCCUUUGUGAGGCGUGCUCAGAUCCUCAGAGGAAGUGACAGACAGGCCUUUUACUUGAAGUGAAAUCACUUUUGGGAGGUAUUUCCUGAGGACGUCUCAUUCACUCACGUGGUAUCUGGCACCCUGGGCUGUGGGAUUGCAUGUGGAAUAAAUGAAGUCUUCGGACCUCGGAGGAGCUCCACAUUGACCUCACCUUGGCUUCCGGGGCAGAGUCUUCAGCUUCUGGUGUAGACUCUGCAGCCUUCAUUGCCGACCCAUCGGCCUCCUGAUGUGAACUCCCCUGGGACACUGCAGUCAGCUCCAGACCUUCGACUGGAUCCUUCAGUCUCAGUGUGCAGAUGGACCCCCUGGACUCUUCACACCUGACUCUGGGCAGCUAUUCCAUGGUGGCAGCCAUUGUUUGAUACUUGUGCAUGUAGCACUGGUGACUCAAGCCAGUGGGACAAUCGAAUUCAAAUCAGAGCCACCCAGCAGUGAGACAUAGGAGUCACAGCCCCAUCAUGAAUGUGUUAACCUAACCAAGAAGUGGAAGACCUCAGCAACCAAAACUGCAGUACUCUGAAAAAGGAGAUUCAAGAGGACAUUAGAAAGUUGAAAGAUAGUCCUUGUAUCUGGAGAGGCAGAAUCAAUAUUGUCAAAAUAAUCAUACUGCCAAAAUUGAUACAGAGAUUUGAUGCAGUCCCCAAAUACCUGCUCCAUCCCUCGCAGAACUAGAGAAGACAGUCCUCUGAUGGAAGCAGAAGAGACUCAGAGCAGCAAAAGCAAUGUGAGCAACAAGAGCAAAGCUGGAGGCAUCACGAUGCCCGACGUCACGUCCUAUUGCAAGGCUACAGUGAUACAAAGAGCGUGGUGUUGGCGCAAAACAGACAUGUGGACCAGUGAACAGAGCAGCGGAUGCAGAAACAACCCCACGCACAUUCAGCUGUUUGAUCGUUGACAUAGGGGCCAAACGCAUUUGCUAGAGGAAAGACAGCCUCUGUAGCAAGUGGUGCUGGAAAAAACAGAUAUCCAUAUGCUGAAGAUGGAAGCUGUACCCAUGUGUCUCAUAAUGUACCAAGCUUACAUCAAAACGGAUUAAAGAUCUAAAUGUUAAAACAGAGACACUUAAUCUGCUGGAAGAUAAAAUAGGUAAAAAUUUUGAAGUUAUGGGCACAGGCAUGGACUUUCUGAACAGAACUCCAACUGUGUAAGAAAUAACAGCAAGAAUCAACAAAUGGUAUUAUAUCAAAUUAAAAAUCUUCUCUCAGCAAAGGAAACAACAGAAUGAAAAAUUUUUAUCAGCCAAACCUCAGACAGAGGACUACAAUCUAGAACAUGUAAAUAAUUAAAAAGAAUUAGAUGCCCCAAAUAAAAGUCCUAAGCAAAAAAUGGGCACCUGAAAUGAAUAGACACUUCUCAGAAGAAGCAAUAUAAAUGGCCAGUAAAUACAUGAAAAAAUGUUCAAUUUGACUGGCUACUAGAGAAAUGCAAAUUAAAAGGACACUAUUUCAUCACACCUCAGAAAGAAUGGCAGUCAUCAAGAAAUCAAGUGAUAACAAAUGCUGGCCAGUCUCCAGUGAAAAAGGAAGCUUCUCCAUUGUUGAUGGAAAUGUAAAGUAGUGCAAGGAAUCAGUACGGAGAUUUCUCAAAAACCUAAAAGCAGAAAUUCUGCUUAACCUAUUCCCCUUCUGGGUAUCUUCCUAAAAGAGCUAAAGAUACCAUAUUAGAGUGAUACAUGAAUACCAAUAUUCAUAGCAACAUAAUUCAUAAUAGCUAAUUUUUGGAAGCAGCCUAUAUGUUCAUUAAUAGAUGAAUGGAUAAAGAAAAUGUGAUAUCUUUACA